rnacentral:snRNA from 1 species
GGAUGUGAGGGCGAUCUGGCUGUGACAUCUGUCACCCCAUUGAUCACUAGGGUUGAUUCGGCUGAUCUGGCUGGCUAGGUGGGUGUCCCCCUCCUCCCUCAAUACUCCACGUGCAUCCUUCCCGAAGUCGCGUGCUCGGUCGAAGAGGAGGACCACCCCCGAUAGAGGAGGACCAUUCCUCGGUCAAGGGUAUAUGAGUAGCUGCGCUUCCCUGCUAGAACCUCCAAACAAGCUCUCAAAGGAACUCAGAGGUUUAUCUUUUUAUUUUAUUUUUUACUGUUUUAUUUUUUAAAAUUUUCAAAUUUUUA